CUUUCAUUCAUCCUUAGUCCCCCGGCGUCAACUCCCUGCUGGGCUCGGCGAGGCUGGGCUGCGCGCUCUCAUUGGGUGUAGCCAACCCAGAGAAGUCGCCGGCCUCUUCUUCCAGUGGGGAGUCCAUCUGACCCAAGACAGUGGGAGGCCAAGGACCGAGUGCAGAGCUGGUGCACCUCGGGGACGCUGAGUCCCAUGCUGGCCCUGCACUCACAAUAUAGCCCAGACUGACCUUGAACUCAUAGCAAUCCUCCUGCUUCAGCCUCUCAAGUGCUGGGAUUACAGGUGUGUGCCACCACUCCUGGUUUUUUGGUAGAGUCCUGGUGGAUGCCAGUGCCCUUACUGCCUGCUGGUCAGAUGGUUCCCAGGUGCUGCCAGUGAAGUGUCCCCAGGAUACAUGAAGGAUCUCAGAGAAAACAAAAAAAAGGAAAGCAGAGCUUCAAGAUGAUGCUGAUACUGCAGGAAAAGCAAAAAGACAGAGCAGGAGUUUCCAGCCCCAUAGAAAGGAGCGCCUGACAGCCCCAGCUCUGGUGAAACCUUGGCUCUGACCUUUUUCAGUCUCAUUGCUCACACGAACUACGUCUUUUACUGAAAUCAAAACGACCUUUGUAUUGUUAAAAAAAAUCAUUCCAAUAUUGUUUAUUUCAUUUUUAGAGCAUGCUUCUUAGACUCUGUUUUGCAUGUUCUAUGAUGAAUAUAUUUUUAUAGUCAAAUAUGUAUAUAAUUUAUAAGUGACUAUAAAUACACAUAUAAUUUAUAAAUGUCCCUCUGUGUGUUUUGCAGUCACAAAUGUGAUCUGAGGACUGAAUCCAGGACCUUCAUACUAAGCUACAUCCCUUGCCUCUUUUUUAUUUUUCAUUUUAAGAAACAAUCUUGCUAAGUCACUAAGUUUCCCAGUGACUGGGCUUGCUUGGGCUUUCGAUCUUCCUGCCUCAGCCUCCUGGAGUGCUAGGAUAAUAGACCUGCAUGUCCAUGUCCAGUUGAAAAUCUUAAUUUGGGUGCAAAUUAAGAUUUCUGGCUUUAGAUAGUAUUUGAGGUGGCCAUCUGCCACCCAGGGAUGGCCAAAAUAUAUAUUUGGUGUUUGUGCAAAGAUAUUUCACUGAUGGUGUUGAUGAUCAAAAGUUUUCUAGGGGAGGGGCCACAGCAAAAGUUCACUUACUCCAGCCCUGUGAUUAGGAUGGGCCAAGCCUGCCAAAUUGGUGCUGGCUAAACACAGCUAGCAAACACAGGAGCAAGAGGCUGCCUGGGGACGCAGCCAUAGGCUGAGCCUGGCCGUUGCUGAGCGCGGGAGGCAAAUCCUGCGCUGUCCUGGAUGAGGACACAGACAGCUGAUGUCACGGGGUCCCUGCUGUCAGACCAGCCUGCUGCCCCCUGGCCCACUCAGUGUGACCUCGAGGAAGUGGAUUGGCUCCUCCCGGGUCGCUCUCAUGUCAGGAAAUGAUCCAGUCACCAUCCAGUCAUUCAGGCCGGGGGGCGGGGGGGAAGAAAAGAAAAAACAUUAAAAGUAACUCAGGCCUAGUGUGUAGGUGCCCAGAUGCCUCUCCUUCUAUCCUCUGUCCCGAAUCUGAUCCUUAUAUUAUUAUUUUUUCCAGUACUAAGAAUUGAACUCAGGACCUUGUGCUUGCCGGGCAGGUGCAGCACCACUGAGCUACAUCCCCCGGCUGAUCCUUCUAUUACAGACAGCCGAAUUAGUUAAAACUAUUAUAAGCAGACAGAUAGGGCGAGGUCCUUGAGAGUCAGGACAAAGGUAAAACACAACACAACUGCGUCCGGAGACACAUCUGUUGGAAGGCAGGCCUCAAGAUAAAGACAAGAUGACCAGACCUGUAUACUUCCCCAAAGGACAAACACCGGGCCUAAUGAAGUCCAGAUAGACAUCAGCCACCCAGAGACCUCUGGACCCACCAUUUCCUAGGAGGAGUCUUUGUUCUUUCCAUCCAUGCCUGUUACAUGACUUGUUUCCCAAUGGUUUGGACCACCAUUACCUGAGUGGCUGUACUUGUAACCUCAUUGGUUGAUCAUGGCUGUGGCCCAUGUUAUACCCACGUGGGUUUUACUCCAUAAAACUACCCUGUAGAGUGGGGUCCCUGGCUACACAUUCAGGACCCCUCCUGCUUCUCAGGAGCUAUCCUCUCAAUAAAUAUCUUC